AUACGGAGGAUCCGAGCGUUAUCCGGAUUUAUUGGGUUUAAAGGGUGCGCAGGCGGCCAUUUAAGUCAGCGGUUAAAUCGUGGGGCUCAACCCCAUUCUGCCGUUGAUACUGGGUGGCUUGAUUGCGGUCGAGGUUGGCGGAAUUCGUUGUGUAGCGGUGAAAUGCAUAGAUAUGACGAAGAACACCGAUUGCGUAGGCAGCUGACCAGACCGCAAAUGACGCUCAUGCACGAAAGUGCGGGGAUCGAACAGGAUUAGAUACCCUGGUAGUCCGCACAGUAAACGAUGAAUACUUGUUUUCGGCGAUAUAAUGUCGGAGGCAAAGCGAAAGCAAUAAGUAUUCCACCUGGGGAGUACGCCGGCAACGGUGAAACUCAAAUGAAUUGACGGGG
rnacentral:rRNA from 1 species